rnacentral:tRNA from 1 species
GCAGUAAUAGCUCAUUUGGUAGAGCAUUGCAUUGCCAAUGCAAGGGCGGCGGGUUCGAAUCCCGUUUACUGCACAA